rnacentral:rRNA from 1 species
UGCUCAGAUUGAACGCUGGCGGCAGGCUUAACACAUGCAAGUCGAGCGGGGGAAGGUAGCUUGCUACUGGACCUAGCGGCGGACGGGUGAGUAAUGCUUAGGAAUCUGCCUAUUAGUGGGGGACAACAUCUCGAAAGGGAUGCUAAUACCGCAUACGUCCUACGGGAGAAAGCAGGGGAUCUUCGGACCUUGCGCUAAUAGAUGAGCCUAAGUCGGAUUAGCUAGUUGGUGGGGUAAAGGCCUACCAAGGCGACGAUCUGUAGCGGGUCUGAGAGGAUGAUCCGCCACACUGGGACUGAGACACGGCCCAGACUCCUACGGGAGGCAGCAGUGGGGAAUAUUGGACAAUGGGGGGAACCCUGAUCCAGCCAUGCCGCGUGUGUGAAGAAGGCCUUAUGGUUGUAAAGCACUUUAAGCGAGGAGGAGGCUACUUUAGUUAAUACCUAGAGAUAGUGGACGUUACUCGCAGAAUAAGCACCGGCUAACUCUGUGCCAGCAGCCGCGGUAAUACAGAGGGUGCGAGCGUUAAUCGGAUUUACUGGGCGUAAAGCGUGCGUAGGCGGCUUAUUAAGUCGGAUGUGAAAUCCCCGAGCUUAACUUGGGAAUUGCAUUCGAUACUGGUGAGCUAGAGUAUGGGAGAGGAUGGUAGAAUUCCAGGUGUAGCGGUGAAAUGCGUAGAGAUCUGGAGGAAUACCGAUGGCGAAGGCAGCCAUCUGGCCUAAUACUGACGCUGAGGUACGAAAGCAUGGGGAGCAAACAGGAUUAGAUACCCUGGUAGUCCAUGCCGUAAACGAUGUCUACUAGCCGUUGGGGCCUUUGAGGCUUUAGUGGCGCAGCUAACGCGAUAAGUAGACCGCCUGGGGAGUACGGUCGC